UACGUAGGGUGCGAGCGUUAAUCGGAAUUACUGGGCGUAAAGUGUGCGCAGGCGGCGUUGCAAGUCGAGUGUGAAAGCCCCGGGCUUAACUUGGGAAUUGCGCUCGAAACUACGAUGCUGGAGUGUGGCAGAGGAAGGUGGAAUUCCACGUGUAGCGGUGAAAUGCGUAGAGAUGUGGAGGAACACCGAUGGCGAAGGCAGCCUUCUGGGCCAACCACUGGAACGC
rnacentral:rRNA from 1 species